rnacentral:rRNA from 1 species
GCAAGUGGAGCGACGAACCGGGGCUUGCCCGGGGCAGAGCCGCGAACGGGUGAGUAACACGUGGGUAACCUGCCUCAAUGAUUGGGACAACCCGGGGAAACUCGGGCUAAUACCAAAUGUGUUCACUCCUUCAAGGGGAGUGAGGAAAGGAGCUUCGGCCUCCGCAUUGAGAUGGGCCCGCGGCCCAUUAGCUUUGUUGGUGAGGUAACGGCUCACCAAGGCUUCGAUGGGUAGCUGGUCUGAGAGGACGAUCAGCCACACUGGGACUGAGACACGGCCCAGACUCCUACGGGAGGCAGCAGUGGGGAAUCUUGCACAAUGCGCGAAAGCGUGAUGCAGCAACGCCGCGUGGGGAAGACGGCCUUCGGGUUGUAAACCCCUUUCAGUUGGGACGAAGCUUCGUCGGUGAAUAGCCGGUUGGAGUGACGGUACCUUCAGAAGAAGCCCCGGCUAACUACGUG